rnacentral:rRNA from 2 species
UGGUGGGUAGUUUGACUGGGGCGGUCUCCUCCUAAAGAGUAACGGAGGAGCACGAAGGUUGGCUAAUCCUGGUCGGACAUCAGGAGGUUAGUGCAAUGGCAUAAGCCAGCUUGACUGCGAGCGUGACGGCGCGAGCAGGUGCGAAAGCAGGUCAUAGUGAUCCGGUGGUUCUGAAUGGAAGGGCCAUCGCUCAACGGAUAAAAGGUACUCCGGGGAUAACAGGCUGAUACCGCCCAAGAGUUCAUAUCGACGGCGGUGUUUGGCACCUCGAUGUCGGCUCAUCACAUCCUGGGGCUGAAGUAGGUCCCAAGGGUAUGGCUGUUCGCCAUUUAAAGUGGUACGCGAGCUGGGUUUAGAACGUCGUGAGACAGUUCGGUCCCUAUCUGCCGUGGGCGCUGGAGAAC